rnacentral:tRNA from 1 species
UCGGAGCGUAGCGAAGCCUGGUAUCGCGCCUCGUUCGGGACGAGGAGAUCGUGGGUUCAAAUCCCGCCGCUCCGAU